UGUAUGUGUGUGUGUGUGUGUGUGUGUGUGUGUGUACACACACACACACACACAUAUAUAUAUAUAUA